rnacentral:rRNA from 1 species
UGGGGAAUAUUGGACAAUGGGCGAAAGCCUGAUCCAGCCAUGCCGCGUGUGUGAAGAAGGCCUUUUGGUUGUAAAGCACUUUAAGUGGGGAGGAAAAGCUUAUGGUUAAUACCCAUAAGCCCUGACGUUACCCACAGAAUAAGCACCGGCUAACUCUGUGCCAGCAGCCGCGGUAAUACAGAGGGUGCAAGCGUUAAUCGGAAUUACUGGGCGUAAAGCGCGCGUAGGUGGUUAUUUAAGUCAGAUGUGAAAGCCCCGGGCUUAACCUGGGAACUGCAUCUGAUACUGGAUAACUAGAGUAGGUGAGAGGGGAGUAGAAUUCCAGGUGUAGCGGUGAAAUGCGUAGAGAUCUGGAGGAAUACCGAUGGCGAAGGCAGCUCCCUGGCAUCAUACUGACACUGAGGUGCGAAAGCGUGGGUAGCAAACAGGAUUAGAUACCCUGGUAGUCCACGCCGUAAACGAUGUCUACCAGUCGUUGGGUCUUUUAAAGACUUAGUGACGCAGUUAACGCAAUAAGUAGACCGCCUGGGGAGUACGGGCCGCAAGGUUAA